UGCAUAUCAAUAAGCGCGGAGGAAAAGAAACCAACAGGGAUUGCCUCAGUAGCGGCGAGUGAAGCGUCAAGAGCUCAGAUUUGAAAUCGUGCUUUGCGGCACGAGUUGUAGAUUGCAGGUUGGAGUCUGUGUGGAAGGCGGUGUCCAAGUCCCUUGGAACAGGGCGCCCAGGAGGGUGAGAGCCCCGUGGGAUGCCGGCGGAAGCAGUGAGGCCCUUCUGACGAGUCGAGUUGUUUGGGAAUA
rnacentral:rRNA from 1 species